rnacentral:rRNA from 1 species
UACGAAGGGGGCUAGCGUUGCUCGGAAUCACUGGGCGUAAAGCGCACGUAGGCGGAUUGUUAAGUCAGGGGUGAAAUCCUGGAGCUCAACUCCAGAACUGCCUUUGGUACUGGCGAUCUCGAGUCCGGGAGAGGUGAGUGGAACUGCGAGUGUAGAGGUGAAAUUCGUAGAUAUUCGCAAGAACACCAGUGGCGAAGGCGGCUCACUGGCCCGGUACUGACGCUGAGGUGCGAAAGCGUGGGGAGCAAACAGG